rnacentral:rRNA from 1 species
AGUGAACGCUGGCGGUAGGCCUAACACAUGCAAGUCGAACGGCAGCACAGUAAGAGCUUGCUCUUACGGGUGGCGAGUGGCGGACGGGUGAGGAAUACAUCGGAAUCUACUUUUUCGUGGGGGAUAACGUAGGGAAACUUACGCUAAUACCGCAUACGACCUACGGGUGAAAGCAGGGGAUCUUCGGACCUUGCGCGAUUGAAUGAGCCGAUGUCGGAUUAGCUAGUUGGCGGGGUAAAGGCCCACCAAGGCGACGAUCCGUAGCUGGUCUGAGAGGAUGAUCAGCCACACUGGAACUGAGACAAGAUCCAGACUCCUACGGGAGGCAGCAGUGGGGAAUAUUGGACAAUGGGCGCAAGCCUGAUCCAGCCAUACCGCGUGGGUGAAGAAGGCCUUCGGGUUGUAAAGCCCUUUUGUUGGGAAAGAAAAGCAGCAGGUUAAUACCCCGCUGUUCUGACGGUACCCAAAGAAUAAGCACCGGCUAACUUCGUG